ACAGAGCUAGUUUGCAAAUUCUGAAUACAAAAAAAGAAAAAACUACACUCUCACUCUUUAUUUACAGCAAAACACAUACCAACAUAUCCACACCCAGAGUGUUUGUUUCACAUCACACCCAAAUACAUAAGGUAAAUAAAAGAGAAUUCUUUCAAAAUUUCAAGGUAAAAAAAAGGUGCAAAUGUAUAUUUUACUAAACUAGAGAAGCCUCCUCCUGAAGUUUCUGGUAGUUGAUUGAUAAGUACGAACUAGAAGACCGACACCAAUCCCAAGACCAACACAGACACCUAGUCCAAU
rnacentral:ncRNA from 1 species